GGUGGGGUCUCACCAGGGUGAAGCAGAGAGGCAGAAUCACCUCUCUCAACCUGCUGUCCAUGCUACUUUUAUAAUAAAGAGACAAGCAUGGAAAAUCUAGAGCCCAGGGAGAGACAGAUAAAGGGUCUGCAGUGUACUAUUUCAUCCCACUAAACUGCAUAUGCAUAAUGAACUCUUCUCAUUGUAUCCCCUGAAGACAUCCUUGUUUUGUCUAGACCCAAACAAGAGCCACUAAUGAAAUUUGUAUA